rnacentral:rRNA from 1 species
UGGGGAAUUUUGGACAAUGGGCGCAAGCCUGAUCCAGCCAUGCCGCGUGCGGGAAGAAGGCCUUCGGGUUGUAAACCGCUUUUGUCAGGGAAGAAAUCUUCUGAGUUAAUACCUCGGGAGGAUGACGGUACCUGAAGAAUAAGCACCGGCUAACUACGUGCCAGCAGCCGCGGUAAUACGUAGGGUGCAAGCGUUAAUCGGAAUUACUGGGCGUAAAGCGUGCGCAGGCGGUUUUGUAAGACAGAGGUGAGAUCCCCGGGCUCAACCUGGGAACUGCCUUUGUGACUGCAAGGCUUGAGUGCGAGCAGAGGGGGAUGGAAUUCCGCGUGUAGCAGUGAAAUGCGUAGAUAUGCGGAGGAACACCCGAUGGCGAAGGCAAUCCCCCUGGGGCCUGCACUGACGCUCAUGCACGAAAGCGUGGGGAGCAAACAGGAUUAGAUACCCUGGUAGUCCACGCCCUAAACGAUGUCAACUGGUUGUUGGGAAGGUUCCUUCUCAGUAACGUAGCUAACGCGUGAAGUUGACCGCCUGGGGAGUACGGCCGCAAGGUUG